rnacentral:rRNA from 1 species
GGGCCCGCACAAGCAGUGGAGUAUGUGGUUUAAUUCGAAGCAACGCGAAGAACCUUACCAGGUCUUGACAUCUGCCGGAUCCCGCGGAGACGCGGGGGUGCCCUUCGGGGAGCGGCAAGACAGGUGGUGCAUGGUUGUCGUCAGCUCGUGUCGUGAGAUGUUGGGUUAAGUCCCGCAACGAGCGCAACCCUUGUGAUUAGUUGCUACGCAAGAGCACUCUAAUCAGACUGCCGUUGACAAAACGGAGGAAGGUGGGGAUGACGUCAAAUCAUCAUGCCCCUUAUGACCUGGGCUACACACGUACUACAAUGGCCGCGCACAGAGGGAAGCGAAACCGCGAGGCGGAGCGAACCCCCAAAAACGGUCUCAGUUCGGAUCGCAGGCUGCAACCCGCCUGCGUGAAGCUGGAAUUGCUAGUAAUCGCGGAUCAUCAUGCCGCGGUGAAUACGUUCCCGGGCCUU